CUACGGGUGGCUGCAGUGAGGAAUUUUGCGCAAUGGGGGAAACCCUGACGCAGCAACGCCGCGUGAGUGAUGAAGGCCUUCGGGUCGUAAAACUCUGUCAAGUGGGAAGAACCUAUGUAAGGUUAAUACCCUUAUGUACUGACGGUACCACUGAAGGAAGCACCGGCUAGCUCCGUGCCAGCAGCCGCGGUAAUACGGAGGGUGCAAGCGUUAUUCGGAAUUAUUGGGCGUAAAGGGCGCGCAGGCGGUUUUGUAAGUCAGAUGUGAAAGCCCGGGGCUUAACCUCGGAAGUGCAUUUGAUACUGCAAGACUUGAGUAUGGGAGGGGGAAGUGGAAUUCCUGGUGUAGAGGUGAAAUUCGUAGAUAUCAGGAGGAACACCAGUGGCGAAGGCGACCUCCUGGACCAAUACUGACGCUGAGGCGCGAAGGCGUGGGGAGCAAACAGGAUUAGAUACCCGCGUAGUC
rnacentral:rRNA from 1 species